rnacentral:rRNA from 1 species
UACGGAGGGAGCUAGCGUUGUUCGGAAUUACUGGGCGUAAAGCGCGCGUAGGCGGUUUAUCAAGUCAGAGGUGAAAUCCCGGGGCUCAACCCCGGAACUGCCUUUGAAACUAGUAAACUAGAAUCUUGGAGAGGUCAGUGGAAUUCCGAGUGUAGAGGUGAAAUUCGUAGAUAUUCGGAAGAACACCAGUGGCGAAGGCGGCUAACUGGACCAUUCUUGACGCUGAGGAACGAAAGCGUGGGGAGCAAACAGG